GCGGGCGUGGCGGAACUGGCAGACGCGCGGGACUUAGGAUCCCGUGUCCUUGCGGACAUACAGGUUCGAUUCCUGUCGCCCGCA
rnacentral:tRNA from 1 species